UGUCAGAGUCAGAUGACCCAAGUACCUUUCGUCAUCUCUUCAUCCAGAAUUGCACAAAUAUCAACAUCCUCAGGUUGGCCAAGAAGAAACUUCGUGCCCGUUCUCUGACAAUCUUUGGGAGUGGAGGAGGAGGAGCUGUUUCUUGUAUGAGAGAUGCUCCGGUGCUUUCUACUCGUAGUAUUAUACUACCAGUAGAACUAAUCUGAACCGUUUAUUUUUUUAGGGUAGAUUAGUAUAAGACAGAUUUGGGGUAGAUUUGACACUUAAUUUAUUUCUCCGUGUGGGUCUCGUGGUUAGCGUCGCUCGGAAUCCUCAUCUAUCUCAAUCGAGCGGAGGUGGAGAGCGUGACUCCUUCCGCCGGCGCCUCGACUCCUUCUGCCGGCGGCGCUUGUGCAUUCCGUUCCCUUCCGCCAACGGCGGAACUCUCCGGCGCCCCUCUCCUUCCGUUCCCCUUCUCUGCUGGCGUCUAGCCGCUUCCCCACCGGCCUGCGCGCAGGAGCUUCUGCUGUGGGAUGUUUUUCUGUUCAUGAUUUUGUAUGGGUUGCGUUUUGCCUGAAUUCUGGUGUGAACUGAACAGAGAAGGGAAAACGUUAGUUGGAAAUUUAUCUGAAAUGCUGUAGUUCGUUUCAUAGAUAUAUGGACUAAUCCAUGUUAGUACUGAAGACCAACUGAUCAUCAAUUGUUUGGUUUAGUUUUCAACAGUAACUGAUCCUUCUGUUUGUCUCUGUCUGUUUGGUUAAUUGACCCUACUCCCUGCAUCCCUGCAUGUAUCUGAAUUCUUCUGGAUAUGAAGCAACUCGUUUCAAAUAUGGAUGUGGAUUUAAUACCCUAGUAUGUCACAAUGUGUUGAAUUCUUCUGCAUCUGUGGCAUUCCGUUUCAGAGAUGAAUGGGCUUAUCUGAAGAAUCAUGCUUUUAACUUGCAGGGCUAGUUGAACUGUUGGAUCGCUUGCAUAAAGUAAAUAUUUUGCCCCCAAGCUGCCACUCUUAUACUUCCUCCGUUUCUAAAUAUUUGACAUCGUUGACUUUUUAAUACAUGUUUGACCGUUCGUCUUAUUGAAAAACUUUUGUGAAAUAUGUAAAACUAUAUGUAUACAUAUAAGUAUAUUUAACAAUGAAUCAAAUGAUAGGAAAAGAAUUAAUCAUUACUUAAAUUUUUUGAAUAAGACAAACGGUCAAACAUAUUAAAAAAGUCAACGGCGUUAAAUAUUUAGAAAUUGAGGGAGUAUAUUUAAGUGAAAUCCCAAGCUGCUAAGUUGCCAUUCUUAUAUAUUUAAUUGAAAUCCCACUCCUAUGUACUCUUAUGUAGCAAAACCGUUUUACUGUAGACUUGUUCGAUGGUCGCAAAAUGCAUUGACAGUGAUAUGCUAUCAACCAUAAACUCUGGACAGAAAGUUAAUUAGGGUUGAUCAAAGAAUAGUUUGUCAGGUUUUGCUGCUAUCAUGCUUCUUCAGCAAGCUCUCCCUUGGUCUGUUCAAUGGUAUAUGCAACCAACUUCGUAUGUGUCAGAAAAGAUGCAAAGCAAAAUGCUCAAUUCAGUAGAUUGUCGACAAGAUUUUUGACGACAUCGAGCAAUGGAGCAGCUGCGGGCAAAUGUGCUGGUGCAUUUCUCUCAGAGAGCUAGAUAAACGUUGGAGGCGGCGGAGGCGAGUGCGUCGGGAGGCGGCAGACGAGGGCGAGGGUGGCGGAGCAGGCGAGGUCGGCUGAGGCGGCGGAAGGGAGGAGUCGCGAGGGAGGUUCUCUCGGCAUGGGCUCCAGAUGCAGGCGUCAGUUCCAGAACGAAAGAAGAUAGGGUAGCUAUUGUUAUAAAGUGAAAGUGACGAUUAUACCCCUCCGUAAAUAAUUUUAUGUAGACAAAAGUACCCCUCCAUAAUUCUACUACCAUUAAGUGAGGUGGUAGUAGAGAUAGAUCUGAACCCUUCGAUCAAAUAAGAUCAACGGUUCAGAUUUUUUUCUACUAUAAGUAGAAAGCACCGGAGUGAGACUUUUCUUGUAUUGCCGAGUGUGAACUGUUGCAGGCCUUAGAUCUAAAAGAAUGCAAUGAUUUUGAUGAUAAUCGUGUCAAGGGCAUCAUGAAGGACAAUCUCAGUCGUCUAAAAUAUCUGAGCCUCGGAAGCGCUACUACGAAACUUCC
rnacentral:lncRNA from 1 species